GCAGUUUGCUCUCAGACUGCUGUGCUAGCAAUGAGCGAGGCUUCGUGGGCGUAGGACCCUUCGAGCCAGGAGCGAGAUACAAUCUUCUGGUGUGCCUUUUGCUAAGACCGUUGGAAAAGCGCAGUAUUAGGGUUCAUGAUUACAAAGAAGGAACCCCAGAAGAGAAGACCUACUACAUAGAAUUAUGGGAUGUUGGAGGCUCUGUGGGCAGUGCCAGCAGCGUGAAAAGCACAAGAGCAGUAUUCUACAACUCCGUAAAUGGUAUUAUUUUCGUACACGACUUAACAAAUAAGAAGUCCUCCCAAAACUUGCGUCGUUGGUCAUUGGAAGCUCUCAACAGGGAUUUGGUGCCAACUGGAGUCUUGGUGACAAAUGGGGAUUAUGAUCAAGAACAGUUUGCUGAUAACCAAAUACCACUGUUGGUAAUAGGGACUAAACUGGACCAGAUUCAUGAAACAAAGCGCCAUGAAGUUUUAACUAGGACUGCUUUCCUGGCUGAGGAUUUCAAUCCAGAAGAAAUUAAUUUGGACUGCACAAAUCCACGGUACUUAGCUGCAGGUUCUUCCAAUGCUGUCAAGCUCAGUAGGUUUUUUGAUAAGGUCAUAGAGAAGAGAUACUUUUUAAGAGAAGGUAAUCAGAUUCCAGGCUUUCCUGAUCGGAAAAGAUUUGGGGCAGGAACAUUAAAGAGCCUUCAUUAUGACUGAAUUACACUCAUCCUUUGGAAGAGUGAGCAAGCAGUGGCAGUUUUUCACAGCUCAUCUUGCUGUGUUCAAUUAUUACCAUCACAGCCUUUUAACAAAAUCAUCUUAAAA
rnacentral:lncRNA from 10 species